rnacentral:rRNA from 1 species
CCUACGGGUGGCAGCAGUCGAGAAUCAUUCACAAUGGGGGAAACCCUGAUGGUGCGACGCCGCGUGGGGGAAUGAAGGUCUUCGGAUUGUAAACCCCUGUCAUGUGGGAGCAAAUUAAAAAGAUAGUACCACAAGAGGAAGAGACGGCUAACUCUGUGCCAGCAGCCGCGGUAAUACAGAGGUCUCAAGCGUUGUUCGGAAUCACUGGGCGUAAAGCGUGCGUAGGCUGUUUCAUAAGUCGUGUGUGAAAGGCGCGGGCUCAACCCGCGGACGGCACAUGAUACUGCGAGACUAGAGUAAGGGAGGGGGAACCGGAAUUCUCGGUGUAGCAGUGAAAUGCGUAGAUAUCGAGAGGAACACUCGUGGCGAAGGCGGGUUCCUGGACAUUAACUGACGCUGAGGCACGAAGGCCAGGGGAGCGAAAGGGAUUAGAUACCCUUGUAGUC